rnacentral:rRNA from 1 species
UUUGAACAUAUUUUUGAAAAAGAUAAAGACCUGUUAAGUGAUUGUAAAUCUAGUUAACAUCUAAACAUGUUUUUUACACAAACAAGAAUAAAAAUCUUUUAGCAUCAUUUCCUUUUGUAUAAUGAACGCAGAAUAGAACUUGGAGGACCCCGCUCUGUUUGGAAAUGUUAAAAGGUUUAACUGGCGAUCGGCACAAAAAUUGUAUACCGACUCCAAAAAACUAGUAACAUAUUAAAAAAGAAAAACUUAUAAGCAAACAUGCAGACAAAACCGUCAGCGCUGUAAUAUUUUUUAAUAUGUUAAGAGCAUUUACAUUACGCUACUAAUAAUAAACAUUUUUUGGAUUUUCAUCAAGAUAUAGAUAAAUAUGUGGUACAAUCUGUGUUGAGUUUACAAGAUAUAAGCAAAAUAAAAUAACCUCCCGAAAGUUUCACAAAAACCUUUCCCUUUCCUUAAGGGUAAACCCUGCUAAAGAAAAGAAGUAGCAUAAUUAAUAGCCACUUCAUUGGUGGAGUGUUUGAAUGGGCAACCGAGGGGGUAUAUUGCAGCGACUACAACUGCUCAUAUCUAAAAAGAAAAUAUAACAAGUGAAAAUACUUAUAAAAAUAAGAAAGGCGAUAAGACCCUAAAAGCUCUAUGUGUAGUUGUUGGGGCAACAAGAAUAACAACACUUCUUAAACCAAUAUUUUAUUGAAAAAAAGUUACUUUAGGGAUAACAGCGUAAUAUCUGUUAUAAAGACCAUUUUGUUAAUAGAGAGUACGACCUCGAUGUUGAACUAAAGGAAAGCUGGUGUAUAACCUAGUGUUUAUCGUCUGUUCGCCGAUACACCUUUACGUGAUUUGAGUUCAAACCGGCGUGAGCCAGGUUGGUUUCUACCUUCUUCUUUAUUAUUAAUGAAAUAGUACGAAAGGAAAUUGCGUUGGUUACUGUUAAAGUUAUUUUAAUAUUUUCUUGUCGAGAAAAAGAACUUCUAAUUCUGCAUAUAUAGUUUUUAAAAA